UGCACCGAGAGCUUCCCUUUGAGCUUCGGGUUUGAAAGGAUGUAAACAUUCAAAGCAAAGUUCAAUUCAAACAGGCAAGCAUCACCUGGUUUUUGCCUCAAAAUCAUGCAAUGCUGCAAGACUAUGAUAUGAAAUGGGCCCAGAUUGACUCCAAAUGAUUCAGAUCAUUAGUGAACCUCUCUCCAAGAACCUGCUCCAGUCACAAAAGCCAGCUCCAAGCAAGUCACGUGUGAUUUGGUGGUUUCCAUGAAGAGACUGUGCAUAGCAAUGGGGAAACUGAGGCAGGGUGAUUCCAUGACUUGCCCAAAGCUACCGAGGGAGUCAGUCUCAGAGACAGCAGGAGGAUUUGGGAACUCCUAUUUCCCAAUCCUGUGCACAGACCACGCACUGCACUUGGCCAAGCGCUCAGAGGAGAUACCUGCAGUUAACACAGGCUCUGGCACACAACUGACGUGAACUAUGCCAUUCUGGCGGGAAAGAGAAUGGCUGAAAGCAGUAGAACAUGGACUUAAAUGUUGGUAAGAUUAUUUCAGUGCUCUGCAGGAAAAAAAGGCUACAAGCUGAUCAAUGUAAAGCCAUAUGGACUGUCAGUGUCUAGGGCCCAGUUGGAGUCUGAC